GACGAACGCUGGCGGCGUGCCUAAUACAUGCAAGUCGAACGCUUUUUCUUUCACCGGAGCUUGCUCCACCGAAAGAAAAGGAGUGGCGAACGGGUGAGUAACACGUGGGUAACCUGCCCAUCAGAAGGGGAUAACACUUGGAAACAGGUGCUAAUACCGUAUAACAAUAGAAACCGCAUGGUUUCUAUUUGAAAGGCGCUUUUGCGUCACUGAUGGAUGGACCCGCGGUGCAUUAGCUAGUUGGUGAGGUAACGGCUCACCAAGGCAACGAUGCAUAGCCGACCUGAGAGGGUGAUCGGCCACAUUGGGACUGAGACACGGCCCAAACUCCUACGGGAGGCAGCAGUAGGGAAUCUUCGGCAAUGGACGRAAGUCUGACCGAGCAACGCCGCGUGAGUGAAGAAGGUUUUCGGAUCGUAAAACUCUGUUGUUAGAGAAGAACAAGGAUGAGAGUAAAAUGUUCAUCCCUUGACGGUAUCUAACCAGAAAGCCACGGCUAACUACGUGCCAGCAGCCGCGGUAAUACGUAGGUGGCAAGCGUUGUCCGGAUUUAUUGGGCGUAAAGCGAGCGCAGGCGGUUUCUUAAGUCUGAUGUGAAAGCCCCCGGCUCAACCGGGGAGGGUCAUUGGAAACUGGAGAACUUGAGUGCACAAGAGGAGAGUGGAAUUCCACGUGUAGCGGUGAAAUGCGUAGAUAUAUGGAGGAACACCAGUGGCGAAGGCGGCUCUCUGGUCUGUAACUGACGCUGAGGCUCGAAAGCGUGGGGAGCAAACAGGAU
rnacentral:rRNA from 1 species